rnacentral:rRNA from 1 species
AUUGAACGCUGGCGGCAGGCCUAACACAUGCAAGUCGAACGGUAACAGGAAACAGCUUGCUGUUUCGCUGACGAGUGGCGGACGGGUGAGUAAUGUCUGGGAAACUGCCUGAUGGAGGGGGAUAACUACUGGAAACGGUAGCUAAUACCGCAUAACGUCGCAAGACCAAAGAGGGGGAACCUCGGGCCUCUUGCCAUCGGAUGUGCCCAGAUGGGAUUAGCUUGUUGGUGGGGUAACGGCUCACCAAGGCGACGAUCCCUAGCUGGUCUGAGAGGAUGACCAGCCACACUGGAACUGAGACACGGUCCAGACUCCUACGGGAGGCAGCAGUGGGGAAUAUUGCACAAUGGGCGCAAGCCUGAUGCAGCCAUGCCGCGUGUAUGAAGAAGGCCUUCGGGUUGUAAAGUACUUUCAGCGGGGAGGAAGGGAGUAAAGUUAAUACCUUUGCUCAUUGACGUUACCCGCAGAAGAAGCACCGGCUAACUCCGUG